UACGGAGGGGGCUAGCGUUGUUCGGAAUUACUGGGCGUAAAGCGUGCGCAGGCGGUUGUGCAAGACAGGGGCGAAAUCCCCGGGCUUAACCUGGGAACUGCACUUGUGACUGCACGGCUAGAGUACGGUAGAGGGGGGUGGAAUUCCGCGUGUAGCAGUGAAAUGCGUAGAUAUGCGGAGGAACACCGAUGGCGAAGGCAAUCCCCUGGACCUGUACUGACGCUCAUGCACGAAAGCGUGGGGAGCAAACAGG
rnacentral:rRNA from 1 species